rnacentral:rRNA from 1 species
UACGGGAGGCAGCAGUAGGGAAUCUUCGGCAAUGGGGGCAACCCUGACCGAGCAACGCCGCGUGAGUGAAGAAGGUUUUCGGAUCGUAAAACUCUGUUGUUAGAGAAGAACGUUAAGUAGAGUGGAAAAUACUUAAGUGACGGAUCAACCAGAAAG